CCUACGGGGGGCAGCAGUGGGGAAUAUUGGACAAUGGGGGGAACCCUGAUCCAGCCAUGCCGCGUGUGUGAAGAAGGCCCUCGGGUUGUAAAGCACUUUCAGUGAGGAAGAACGCCUGGUGGUUAAUACCCAUCAGGAAAGACAUCACUCACAGAAGAAGCACCGGCUAACUCCGUGCCAGCAGCCGCGGUAAUACGGAGGGUGCGAGCGUUAAUCGGAAUUACUGGGCGUAAAGCGCGCGUAGGUGGCUUGAUAAGCCGGUUGUGAAAGCCCCGGGCUCAACCUGGGAACGGCAUCCGGAACUGUCAAGCUAGAGUGCAGGAGAGGAAGGUAGAAUUCCCGGUGUAGCGGUGAAAUACGUAGAGAUCGGGAGGAAUACCAGUGGCGAAGGCGGCCUUCUGGACUGACACUGACACUGAGGUGCGAAAGCGUGGGUAGCAAACAGGAUUAGAUACCCGGGUAGUC
rnacentral:rRNA from 1 species